UACGUAGGGUGCGAGCGUUGUCCGGAAUUACUGGGCGUAAAGAGCUCGUAGGUGGUUUGUCGCGUUGUUCGUGAAAACUCACAGCUCAACUGUGGGCGUGCGGGCGAUUCGGGCAGACUGGAGUACUGCAGGGGAGACUGGAAUUCCUGGUGUAGCGGUGGAAUGCGCAGAUAUCAGGAGGAACACCGGUGGCGAAGGCGGGUCUCUGGGCAGUAACUGACGCUGAGGAGCGAAAGCGUGGGGAGCGAACAGG
rnacentral:rRNA from 1 species